GAUGAACGCUAGCGGCAGGCUUAAUACAUGCAAGUCGAGGGACAGCACAGGUAGCAAUACUGGGUGGUAACCGGCAAACGGGUGCGGAACACGUACACAACCUUCCUUUAAGUGGGGGAUAGCCCAGAGAAAUUUGGAUUAAUAUCCCGUAAUAUAGUUGAAUGGCAUCACUUGAUUAUUAUAGCUACGGCGCUUAAUGAUGGGUGUGCGGCUGAUUAGAUAGGUGGCGGGGUAACGGCCCACCAAGUCUACGAUCAGUAGCUGAUGUGAGAGCAUGAUCAGACACACGGGCACUGAGACACGGGCCCGACUCCGACGGGAGGCAGCAGUAAGGAAUAUUGGUCAAUGGACGCAAGUCUGAACCAGCCAUGCCGCGUGAAGGAUUAAGGUCCUCUGGAUUGUAAACUUCUUUUAUUUGGGACGAAAAGGGGCCUUUCUAGGUCAACUGACGGUACCAGAUGAAUAAGCACCGGCUAACUCCGUGCCAGCCGCCGCAGUAAGAC
rnacentral:rRNA from 1 species